rnacentral:rRNA from 1 species
UACGGAGGGUGCUAGCGUUGUUCGGAAUUACUGGGCGUAAAGCGCGCGCAGGCGGUCCUUCAAGUCAGAGGUGAAAGCCCAGAGCUCAACUCUGGAAUUGCCUUUGAAACUGCAGGACUUGGGUACGGGAGAGGUGAGUGGAAUUCCGAGUGUAGAGGUGAAAUGCGUAGAUAUGCGGAAGAACACCAGUGGCGAAGGCAGCUCACUGGCCCGAUACCGACGCUCAGGCGCGACAGCGUGGGGAGCAAACAGG